rnacentral:rRNA from 1 species
AGAGUUUGAUCAUGGCUCAGGAUGAACGCUGGCGGCGUGCCUAACACAUGCAAGUCGAGCGAGAAGGAGGAAGCUUGCUUCCAAAUUCUAGCGGCGGACGGGUGAGUAACGCGUGGGCAACCUACCCUGUACAGGGGGAUAACAAUGGGAAACCAUUGCUAAUACCCCAUAAUACCUUCUAGGGGCAUCCCUUAAAGGUCAAAGAAUUUCGGUACAGGAUGGGCCCGCGUCUGAUUAGCUAGUUGGUGAGGUAAUGGCUCACCAAGGCGACGAUCAGUAGCCGGCCUGAGAGGGUGAACGGCCACACUGGAACUGAGACACGGUCCAGACUCCUACGGGAGGCAGCAGUGGGGAAUAUUGCACAAUGGGCGAAAGCCUGAUGCAGCAACGCCGCGUGAGCGAUGAAGGCUUUCGGGUCGUAAAGCUCUGUCCUAAGGGAAGAUAAUGACGGUACCUUAGGAGGAAGCCCCGGCUAACUACGUGCCAGCAGCCGCGGUAAUACGUAGGGGGCAAGCGUUAUCCGGAAUCAUUGGGCGUAAAGGGUGCGUAGGCGGCCCUGUGGGUCAGAGGUUAAAGGCUACGGCUCAGCCGUAGUAAGCCUUUGAAACUGCAGGGCUUGAGUACAGGAGAGGAGAGUGGAAUUCCUAGUGUAGCGGUGAAAUGCGUAGAUAUUAGGAGGAACACCAGUGGCGAAGGCGACUCUCUGGACUGUAACUGACGCUGAGGCACGAAAGCGUGGGGAGCGAACAGGAUUAGAUACCCUGGUAGUCCACGCCGUAAACGAUGAGUGCUAGUGUCGGGGGGUCGAACCUCGGUGCCGCAGUUAACGCAUUAAGCACUCCGCCUGGGGAGUACGUUCGCAAGAAUGAAACUCAAUGAAA